CUAGAGUUUACAUUUGAAAAACAAAUGGACUCUAAAUAUGAUCAGAUGUUUCGAUAGAGAGCACGUGGGGAGAUAUUUCAGCAAUGGCUAAGAACCAAGUGCUAUGGUCUAAGAGGCAGACAGCAAAAGCAUCAUUAAAGCACAACUGUCAGCUGUUUCCAUCUGCAUGAAUCUUUAAUGAAGUCUGCUGUAACCCCAGACCAGCAGGGUGUGCCUGCAGGUAGUGCACCCUUCCCAUCUCAGCCCCCAGCUUACGCCAUCAACCUUCCACCUAGUGCUGUCUACCCUUCUCCUCCAUAUGGUCAAGUCCCAAUGCCACCAGGGUAUAUGCCAUUUCAAAUGCCAGUUCACAUGCCAUCUCCAGUGCACCCACAGUACCCUCCUCAGAUGCCAGUGGAAAUGCCAAUGCCUGCUCCUGGGAGACCACCAGACUGCCCACCAGGGUUAGAGUAUCUCAUUCAAAUUGACCAGCUUCUUGUUCACCAGCAGAUGGAGCUGAUGGAAGUGAUGAUGGGUUUUGAAACAAACAACAAGUACUUGGUGAAGAAUAGUCUGGGACAGCAGGUGUUUUUUGCUGCUGAGGAAAACGACUGCCUCACCCUGCAGUGCUGCGGGCCGAUGCGAUCAUUCGCCAUCCACAUUCAGGACAACAUGGGCCAGACUGUCAUGUCUGUGACAAGGCCUCUCAAAUGCAGCGCCUGCUGCUUCCCUUGCUGCCUCCAAGAGCUGGAAGUACAGUCUCCCCCAGGAAACCCUAUUGGAUAUGUCACACAGAAUUGGCACCCGUAUAUUCCCAAGUUCACCAUUCAGGAUGAGCAAAGAAAUUCUGUGCUGAGAAUUACUGGGCCUUUCUGUGACUGCAAGUGUUUCUCUGAUGUGAACUUUGAGGUAAAACACUGCUCAUCAGCAAGAUCAAAUCACUGGAUGAGACUUCAGUCGUUGGUCAUAUUUCUAAGCAGUGGUCUGGCUUUGGGAAUGAGAUGUAUACAGAUGCUGACAACUUUGGGGUGAAGUUUCCAAUGGAUAUGGAUGUGAAAAUGAAAGCCACCAUAUUGGGAGCUUGUUUUCUCAUAGACUUUAUGUUUUUUGAACAUUCAAAGCAGCAAGAUCAUCAUUAGAAUGGUACGUCAGUGAUGGGGAUAUUUUCAAAUUGGAGAUGCCGUUAUGUGCUAAUACUGCCACUUCUAUAAGGUCCUCUUUCCUUGGUUUAGUCUUGUAGUCAGCUACUCUGAAUGUCUCGGUCAUUGUGUUUUCAACCUGACAAUAAAAAGAAGCCAGCAGA